CGCCUGUUUAUCAAAAACAUGUCCUUUUGGUUUUUAUUUAAGGUCUAACCUGCCCAAUGAUUUGAUUUAAUGGCCGCGGUAUUUUAACUGUGCUAAGGUAGCAUAAUCAUUUGUCUUUUAAUUGAAGGCUGGUAUGAAUGGUUGGACGAGACAUAAACUUUCUUUGAUUUAAUUUAUGAAUUUAAUUUUUUAGUUAAAAAGCUAAAAUUUAUUUAUUGGACGAGAAGACCCUAUAGAUCUUAAUAUCUAUUAAUUGAUUUAGUAAUUUGGUUAGUUUAUUAUUUAGAUUAAUUUAGGUAUUUGGUUGGGGUGACUAUAGAAUUAAAUUAACUUCUAUUUUUAAUUUUCAUUUAUUUAUGUUUUAUUGAUCCAUUAUUAAUGAUUAUAAGAUUAAGUUACCUUAGGGAUAACAGCGUAAUUCUUUUGGAGAGUUCAUAUCGAUAAAGGAGUUUGCGACCUCGAUGUUGGAUUAAAAUAAGUAGUGGAUGCAGUAGUUUACUAACUAGGUCUGUUCGACCUUUUAUAUUUUACAUGAUCUGAGUUCAAACCGGAG
rnacentral:rRNA from 1 species